UAACGUUCGGAAACGGACGCUAAUACCGCAUACGUCCUACGGGAGAAAGCGGGGGAGUCUUCGGACCUCGCGCCAUUAGAUGAGCCUAGGUCGGAUUAGCUAGUUGGUGAGGUAAUGGCUCACCAAGGCGACGAUCCGUAACUGGUCUGAGAGGAUGAUCAGUCACACUGGAACUGAGACACGGUCCAGACUCCUACGGGAGGCAGCAGUGGGGAAUAUUGGACAAUGGGCGAAAGCCUGAUCCAGCCAUGCCGCGUGUGUGAAGAAGGUCUUCGGAUUGUAAAGCACUUUAAGUUGGGAGGAAGGGUAGUAACCUAAUACGUUGCUACUUUGACGUUACCGACAGAAUAAGCACCGGCUAACUUCGUG
rnacentral:rRNA from 1 species